UGAGGAAUAUUGGGCAAUGCCCGCAAGGGUGACCCAGCAACGCCGCGUGGAGGAUGAAUGUCGUAAGAUUGUAAACUCCUGUUAGAGGGGAAGAAUAGUACCGGUUGGACCGGUAUAUGACUGUACCCUCAGAGAAAGCCCCGGCUAACUACGUGCCAGCAGCCGCGGUAAUACGUAGGGGGCAAGCGUUGUCCGGAUUUAAUGGGUGUAAAGGGCGCGCAGGCGGGAUAAAAAGUCAGUGGUGAAAUCCUACAGCUUAACUGUAGAACUGCCUUUGAUACUUUUAUUCUUGAGUUCGGGAGAGAGAGACGGAAUUCCAGGUGUAGUGGUGAAAUACGUAGAUAUCUGGAAGAACACCAGUUGCGAAGGCGGUCUCUUGGUCCGACACUGACGCUGAGGCGCGAAAGCGUGGGGAGCAAACA
rnacentral:rRNA from 1 species